rnacentral:rRNA from 1 species
UACGUAGGGUGCAAGCGUUAUUCGGAAUUACUGGGCGUAAAGCGUGCGCAGGCGGCUUUGCAAGUCAGAUGUGAAAUCCCCGGGCUUAACCUGGGAACUGCAUUUGUGACUGCAAGGCUGGAGUGCGGCAGAGGGGGAUGGAAUUCCGCGUGUAGCAGUGAAAUGCGUAGAUAUGCGGAGGAACACCGAUGGCGAAGGCAAUCCCCUGGGCCUGCACUGACGCUCAUGCACGAAAGCGUGGGGAGCAAACAGG